rnacentral:rRNA from 1 species
UACGUAGGGGGCUAGCGUUGUCCGGAUUUAUUGGGCGUAAAGAGCGUGUAGGCGGCCUGGUAGGUCUGCUGUGAAAACUCGAGCUCAACCUCGAGACGCCGAUGGAAACCCCCUAACUAGAGUCCGGAAGAGGAGAGUGGAAUUCCUGGUGUAGCGGUGAAAUGCGCAGAUAUCGAGAGGAACACCUGCGGCGAAGGCGGGUAGCUGGGCCGACACUGACGCUGAGGCGCGAAAGCCAGGGGAGCGAACGGG